rnacentral:tRNA from 1 species
UAAGGUAUAGCUCAGUGGUAGAGCGCAUGCCUAGCAUGCACGAGGUCCUGGGUUCAAUCCCCAGUACCUCCA